CAUUUCCAGCGACGUAUAUUGACUAAUAUACUACAGUCGGACAUUUGUGCCGAUCUAUACACUACGAUUUACCAAAAAUAUACUACACUGGCGCGCAAAUAUACUACAAGUCCGGUUCAAUAUAACUACACUUUCGUAAAACGGCCUGAAAAUAUGGUAGUAUAUGCUAAAAAUACACGUUUCAAAAACGCUACGAUUUC
rfam:Choristoneura fumiferana multiple nucleopolyhedrovirus, complete genome.